UGAGUUUUUUAGUUCAUCGAUGAUAGAAAUAUAUGUCAAUUCAAAGUAAUUUUAGUUUUUACAUUUCAGAUAGAAAUUACGCACUUCAUCUUUCCUGCCAAUUCGAGAUUCUAGCGGCGAGGCGCUUCAAUGGCCGGCUAAUAACUUCGCCAUUUUGCGACAAUUUAUGAUGAGUACAUUUUUCUUGUACUGUCCAAAUGUGUUUUAAAAUACACUCGAAAUUUUAAAAAGCAUCGUUACUUAUCUCCCAUUGGAAAAAAUAACCAACAAUCAACGUUUCGCUUAAAAAUUAUGCUAUGCUGCUAUUUCUGCACAAUUUCGAGGUGUAACCCGAGGUGGUUGGAGAUAGUUAAACGUGGUUAGUGGUGGUCAGGGUGAACGAGAGGGAGGACGAGGAAGACGAGGAGAACAAGGGAGACAAGGAGGACGAGGAUUUCUGCUCGGCAUAACCCGAGGUGAUUAUCGGUGGUUGUUGGAGGUGGUUGGCGGUGGUUAAAGGUGGUCGGAGGUGGACGAGGAGGAGGACGAGGAAGACGAGGA